AGAGUUUGAUCAUGGCUCAGGAUGAACGCUGGCGGCGUGCCUAACACAUGCAAGUCGAGCGAUUUACUUCGGUAAAGAGCGGCGGACGGGUGAGUAACGCGUGGGUAACCUGCCCUGUACACACGGAUAACAUACCGAAAGGUAUGCUAAUACGAGAUAAUAUGCUUUUAUCGCAUGGUAGAAGUAUCAAAGCUUUUGCGGUACAGGAUGGACCCGCGUCUGAUUAGCUAGUUGGUAAGGUAACGGCUUACCAAGGCGACGAUCAGUAGCCGACCUGAGAGGGUGAUCGGCCACAUUGGAACUGAGACACGGUCCAAACUCCUACGGGAGGCAGCAGUGGGGAAUAUUGCACAAUGGGCGAAAGCCUGAUGCAGCAACGCCGCGUGAGCGAUGAAGGCCUUCGGGUCGUAAAGCUCUGUCCUCAAGGAAGAUAAUGACGGUACUUGAGGAGGAAGCCCCGGCUAACUACGUGCCAGCAGCCGCGGUAAUACGUAGGGGGCUAGCGUUAUCCGGAAUUACUGGGCGUAAAGGGUGCGUAGGUGGUUUCUUAGGUCAGAGGUGAAAGGCUACGGCUCAACCGUAGUAAGCCUUUGAAACUGGGAAACUUGAGUGCAGGAGAGGAGAGUGGAAUUCCUAGUGUAGCGGUGAAAUGCGUAGAUAUUAGGAGGAACACCAGUUGCGAAGGCGGCUCUCUGGACUGUAACUGACACUGAGGCACGAAAGCGUGGGGAGCAAACAGGAUUAGAUACCCUGGUAGU
rnacentral:rRNA from 1 species